UACGUAGGGCGCGAGCGUUGUCCGGAUUUAUUGGGCGUAAAGAGCUCGUAGGCGGUUUGUCGCGUCGGGCGUGAAAACUCACAGCUUAACUGUGAGCUUGCGGUCGAUACGGGCAGGCUAGAGUUCGGUAGGGGAGACUGGAAUUCCUGGUGUAGCGGUGAAAUGCGUAGAUAUCUGGAGGAACACCGGUGGCGAAGGCGGCACCCUGGACCGGUAUUGACGCUGAGGCGCGAAAGCCAGGGGAGCAAACGGG
rnacentral:rRNA from 1 species